rnacentral:rRNA from 1 species
AUUGAACGCUGGCGGCAGGCCUAACACAUGAACGUCGAGCGGAGCGGCGGACGGGUGAGUAAUGCCUAGGAAUCUGCCUGGUAGUGGGGGAUAACGUACGGAAACGGGCGCUAAUACCGCAUACUAUCAGAUGAGCCUAGGUCGGAGUAGCGAGUUGGUGGGGUAAAGGCCUACCAAGGCGACGAUCCGUAACUGGUCUGAGAGGAUGAUCAGUCAAACGGGAACUGAGACACGUUCCAGACUCCUACGGGAGGCAGCAGUGGGGAAUAUUGGACAAUGGGCGAAAGCCUGAUCCAGCCAUGCCGCGUGUAUGAAGAAGGUCUUCGGAUUGUAAAGCACUUUAAGUUGGGAGGCGUUACCAACAGAAUAAGCACCGGCUAACUCCGUGCCAGCAGCCGCGGUAAUAC